CAAACCGUGGUCGGUAUUGGAUGUCGAAUUCGCUCAGUCUCACAGUCCAUUUCGCCAGCCAUCCCGAUGUGUCAGGGCGGUGCAGGAUUGCUCUCAGGGGUUGGUCGGUGAGGACCACGAUAGCAUGUGCCUGGAAGUACGGACGGAGCCGCUGUGCUGAAAUGACCAGAGCGAAAAUCAUUUUCUCUGCCUUCGAGUACCGAGUCUCAGC
rnacentral:lncRNA from 1 species